GUCUUGAUUGGGGUUCCUGGAGAGGAGGCCCCCUCUCCCUAGGUGGGGCUCCUGUUUCCCCUGCUCUGCUCUGAGGUCCCCAGGGUCCAGUCCCCUCCCCACCGUAUCCUGGAGCUUGUCAAGGCCACCAGAGACCUGCUCCCUGUGCCGUCUCAGACUGGACUCUGGGGUCUCCGGUGCCUCCUCUGAUUCUGCACCUCGGUGCAGCCUCUGGCCUGGCUGCGCUCUGAGGAGCUCCCUGUGGCCACCGAGCCCUUGGAACGCGGCCAGUUCCAUUCUCAAACUGCUGUGAGUGCAAAGCUCAUGCUGGAUUUUGAAGAUUUGAUAGAAUUUCACCGUGUUAGCCAGGAUGGUCUCAAUCUCCUGACCUUGUGAUCUGCCUGCCUCGGCCUCCCAAAGUGCUGGGAUUACAGGUGUGAGCCACCGCGCCCGGCCUGUCUUCUUCUUCCUAAGGUCUCACUCUGUCACCCAGGCUGAAGUGCAGUGGCACCAUCACAGAUCACUGCAGACUCCACCUCCUGGGCUCAAGCGAUCCUCCUGUCUCAGCCUCCCGAGUAGCUGGAACUCCCAAGUAACACACACAUUAGCAUGCCCAGCUAAUGUUUAAAUUAGGGUUUUAAUUCACAGAGAAAUAAAGAGCAUCUGAGCAUUCAUCUUCCACAAAAGCAAUCUGAAAUCGUCUCUGUAAGUGGGCGCCCUGUCUUUCUGCAGGCUCAGUGUGGAGAAUGAGGUUGCAUCUCAGGAUGGCCACAGCUCCUUCCUUCCCAAGCCCUUUCUUCAGCAGCCGUGGUGGGAGCUGCAGCGGAAAAGCCCCUUUGGAGUUGCAGCUAGAGGGUGCCUUCCAGGAGCUGCUGGGCCAGCUUCACCAAUGCCUGCAGGCGGUCAGGACAGAUUCAGAGAAGCUCUGGGUCAGAACGAGGGUGAAAAGCCCCUUCCUCGAGCUUCCGGUCGAACAGCCCCAUGGGGGUGCCCUGACCUUCUUGCUCUAAUGCAGCUGCUGUUCCCCGGGGCAGCGACUCCCCUUCUCUCCCUCCCAAGUGCGGCCCUGCCCUCUUCACAGGCACACACCCCACAGCACGUGCGGUGCCUCAAGGCGCCCAAGGUGCACGGGGAGGCCCAUCAGUGCUGUUCCCCAAGCCUCCAGCUUUCUUGCUGGAAUCUUUCUUCCCCACCCCUUUGCAGCUUGGCAUGAGCUUGUCACUUGAGGUGGCCAGUGAGAUGUUGUGGGCAUGAGAGGUGGUGCUAAGAGAUCAGGCGUGACUCCACCUCCCGUUCCCACCUCGGAGGCCUGGCAGCACAUGCUGGGGGCUCCCCAACCCGGGCGGCUGGGCGAGGACGAGGCGCAGACCCCAUACCCGCCACAGGCCCACACUGGAGGGAGUCAGCGGCUGAGUGUCGGGCUGUUCGUUACCACCGCACAGCCUGGCUCAUCCUGGCUCAUCCUGGCUCAUCCUGGCUGACUCGGGGCAGUGCUGCCCGGGCCAGGCGGAGCAGGGAGGACGUGGUGGGGUGUUUGGAAGGCGGAGCAAGAACCUAAUAAAUGUGAGCCCUGGACUCUGAGGCCGGGCAGUGAAUGUUCUGCGGGUGCUGUCUGCGGCCAGAUGUGGGUUUUGGCAUCAUGAGUUCAGGAGAGAACUGGCCGGAGGGAAGACUGCAGAGACCCUCAAAUGUCGAUCUCAGCGGUUGCGGCUAGGAUGGAAUCAAGAGCAGGCCACCGCACCCACCGCUGACAAAUCUCCAGCCUGGGUGACAGAGCCAGACCCUGCUGUCGGGCCUCCGAGCCCAAGCCUGGACAUGUACAUCCAGAUGGCCUGAGGCAGCUGAAGAACCACAAGAGAAGUGAAAAUGGCCAGUUCCUGCCUUAACUGACGACAUUGCCUCAUGAAAUUCCUUCUCCUGGACAGCAAGAAAGGGGCUGAGGAAGCCACUCAACUCUCCAGCACCCACCCUGUGGGGCCACGGAGGACCGUGGGGAUGGGAAGUGUCCUCUCCACCGAGCACAGCCCUCAUCUCUUCCCGGAAGUUGCUCCCCGGCGUCAGCGUCCUCACCCAGCCACCCCUGGGACUUUGGAGUUGCUGAAGAGCAUGACUGCUGGGAUCUGCCUUCUUCCCUUCCAAACCGUCGAAGCCCCUGUCCCUGCUCCUUGGUUGAAUACUCGGGGCAUGGGCAGAAAACUCUUCAUCUUUUUAAUUCAGGGCCCUCCAGCUUGGGAGGAGACACAGCUAGGCUGGACGCGGCAACUUGUGUACUUUUGACCUUCGUGUAGCUGGAGGACACCGGGUUGCCCUUGAGGAAGCAGGUGUAUUUUGCCUGCAGGAAGGGCAGUCUUCCGAGUACCUCGCAGGUGUCUGGAUGUGGUGCGCAUUGGUGCUGUUCAUCAGACACCUUCGGCUGUCCUCUGGGCAGAUGGCAGGGUUGUGUCUUCCCAUGGAGUUCCUUCCUUUCGCCUCAGUGACCACGGAGACGCACGUCGAGGUGUGACCUCGCCUGGGCCUCUGCAUGAGGGUGGGGAGCAGAGUCCUCCUUAGUGGGAGUGGAGCGUGCACGGGACGUAAUUACGUGGGGCCAUUUGUUACGCAGCCUAACACAGCCUGUCCUGGCUGAUGCAGAUGGCCAUUGCAGCAGUCAUCUGCAGGUCCUCAGCUUAGUCUCACCCUCACUGGAGAUCGUAGCCUUGGCCUCACAGAUGCUCCAGAUCUUUUCCUGGCAGAAUUUUGGUGACUUCAGAAAUAUGAUUACUGCUGAACCCACUUCUCCCAGCAUUUCUAUUUGUGGUUGCCUGGUGUGUUUAAAGUCUGUGUUGAUGGGUGCGUAUAUUUUUAACGUUUCCCUAUUGUGAAAUUUAAUAAAUUUACAGCAAAAUGUAUAAAAUACGAAAGUAAAAAACUAUCACCCUAGUC